GGCGGCAGGCCUAACACAUGCAAGUCGAGCGGUAGCACAGAGAGCUUGCUCUCGGGUGACGAGCGGCGGACGGGUGAGUAAUGUCUGGGAAACUGCCUGAUGGAGGGGGAUAACUACUGGAAACGGUAGCUAAUACCGCAUAACGUCGCAAGACCAAAGUGGGGGACCUUCGGGCCUCAUGCCAUCAGAUGUGCCCAGAUGGGAUUAGCUAGUAGGUGGGGUAACGGCUCACCUAGGCGACGAUCCCUAGCUGGUCUGAGAGGAUGACCAGCCACACUGGAACUGAGACACGGUCCAGACUCCUACGGGAGGCAGCAGUGGGGAAUAUUGCACAAUGGGCGCAAGCCUGAUGCAGCCAUGCCGCGUGUAUGAAGAAGGCCUUCGGGUUGUAAAGUACUUUCAGCGGGGAGGAAGGCGAUAAGGUUAAUAACCUUGUCGAUUGACGUUACCCGCAGAAGAAGCACCGGCUAACUCCGUGCCAGCAGCCGCGGUAAUACGGAGGGUGCAAGCGUUAAUCGGAAUUACUGGGCGUAAAGCGCACGCAGGCGGUCUGUCAAGUCGGAUGUGAAAUCCCCGGGCUCAACCUGGGAACUGCAUUCGAAACUGGCAGGCUAGAGUCUUGUAGAGGGGGGUAGAAUUCCAGGUGUAGCGGUGAAAUGCGUAGAGAUCUGGAGGAAUACCGGUGGCGAAGGCGGCCCCCUGGACAAAGACUGACGCUCAGGUGCGAAAGCGUGGGGAGCAAACAGGAUUAGAUACCCUGGUAGUCCACGCCGUAAACGAUGUCGAUUUGGAGGUUGUGCCCUUGAGGCGUGGCUUCCGGAGCUAACGCGUUAAAUCGACCGCCUGGGGAGUACGGCCGCAAGGUUAAAACUCAAAUGAAUUGACGGGGGCCCGCACAAGCGGUGGAGCAUGUGGUUUAAUUCGAUGCAACGCGAAGAACCUUACCUGGUCUUGACAUCCACAGAACUUAGCAGAGAUGCUUUGGUGCCUUCGGGAACUGUGAGACAGGUGCUGCAUGGCUGUCGUCAGCUCGUGUUGUGAAAUGUUGGGUUAAGUCCCGCAACGAGCGCAACCCUUAUCCUUUGUUGCCAGCGGUUAGGCCGGGAACUCAAAGGAGACUGCCAGUGAUAAACUGGAGGAAGGUGGGGAUGACGUCAAGUCAUCAUGGCCCUUACGACCAGGGCUACACACGUGCUACAAUGGCGCAUACAAAGAGAAGCGACCUCGCGAGAGCAAGCGGACCUCAUAAAGUAUGUCGUAGUCCGGAUUGGAGUCUGCAACUCGACUCCAUGAAGUCGGAAUCGCUAGUAAUCGUAGAUCAGAAUGCUACGGUGAAUACGUUCCCGGGCCUUGUACACACCGCCCGUCACACCAUGGGAGUGGGUUGCAAAAGAAGUAGGUAGCUUAACCUUCGGGAGGGCGCUUACCACUUU
rnacentral:rRNA from 1 species